CGACCUCGACCCCGACCCCAACCCCAACCCCUCGACGCCAUCUCCUUCUCCUCCACCUCCGCCCCCAUCUCCCCUGCCUUUCUCCUCUUCUCUACCCCUGAGCUGACUUUCUCCUCCUCCACCUUCGCCCCCGUCUCCCCUGCCUUUCUCCUCUUAUCUGCCCCCCGAGUUGACUUUCUCCUCUAUCUCCACCCUCGUUUCUGCCCCCGAGCUGCCCUAUUCCUGUUUCUCUCCUUCUCCUCCAUCGCCCAAGCUGCUCUAGCCCUUUCUAUUUCUCUCCUUCUCCUUUAUCUCUGCUGGAGGGCGACUGCCGCAGCAUCGCUUGCAGCUUCUCAGCAAGCGUCCUUGAGCAGAUCCUCAGCAGGGCGUCUUCCAACUGCUCCUAGGCAGCGGCGUUCAAGUAACUAGGGUUAUUGUCCUCGCCCUGUAGCCCCUUCUUGUCUUCCUUGCCCCUCACGCUUCUUCACCCUCCCUCAACCUCUCGCCUCCUUCAAACGUGCAGUGGAUUGAAGCUGCCCUUCGCCCUGCUGAGGAUGCAAUCUGCCUGUUCCACAGAUUAGUGAUGGAGGUGGAGCUCCAUAUGCUAUAGAUGUAGCAAAUGGGCAUCUGGUUUGUGGUUGUGGAGAUAUCAACUACUGCAAGCCAAACAUGACUUUUGGUGUCAGUCGUUCUUCGAGAGCUGCAGAAGGACCCUCUCAAGCCAUCAGUGAAGCUUCACCCUCUUUAAGGGGCAGAAUGCCCCUGCAAUUGUUGUCUCUGUUUCUUAAACUGCAAUGUUUGAUGUCAGUGAUGUACAUUAUGUAAGCAGUAUCUUGUUUUUAAUUUC